AUGAAGAGUUUGAUCCUGGCUCAGGAUGAACGCUAGCGGCAGGCCUAACACAUGCAAGUCGAGGGGUAACGGGGAGCUUGCUCCGCCGACGACCGGCGCACGGGUGCGCACCGCGUAUGGAACCUACCUUCUACAGGGGAAUAGCCCAGGGAAACUUGGAUUAAUGCCCCGUGGCACCGUUUUACGGCAUCGUUUAACGGUUAAAGCCUUCGGGCGGUAGAAGAUGGCCAUGCGUCCCAUUAGUUUGUUGGUAAGGUAACGGCUUACCAAGACUACGAUGGGUAGGGGCCCUGAGAGGGGGAUCCCCCACACUGGUACUGAGACACGGACCAGACUCCUACGGGAGGCAGCAGUGAGGAAUAUUGGACAAUGGAGGAGACUCUGAUCCAGC
rnacentral:rRNA from 1 species